rnacentral:lncRNA from 10 species
CUGACCACUCACAGGCUGGUGCUGAAAAAAAUGCAUUGUCCAUACUAAUGACAACCCACUGUGUACCUCCUCCCAUGCUCUCCAGCGGUGCAGCUUGUGGUGGUCAGUUGCCUGUUUUUCCUCGCUGUGAACGCUUUUAAUUAAAAGGAAGGGAUUCAGAACCUGCGGAUGUGGAGGGCCAGAGGGCUGAAUUUGCAAGUUGGGCAAUGGGGAAAGCCUUCACAAAGGAGAAAGCCUUUGGGCUGGAAUUGGAGGAGUAGGAGUCAAUAGAGAGAGAAGAGAGUAAAGGGCAAGGCCAUCAUUCCAGGUUUAGGGAGCAAGUACAAAGACACAGAGAAAUGAAAAGGCUUGGCCUGUUUGGAGAAUGUCAAGCUGUCUGGGGUUGAGAGAAAGACAUUCUAACAAGGCUUCCAUUAAAGAGGCUAGAUUUGCUGCUUGGACAUUUUCUAGCUCUUCUGAGACAACUUUUUGUUGAGUUAAGCGAAAAUGAAUGAAAAUCAGAUGGACCAUAUUUCUCUUGAAUGCACACGGGCUUAAAAACGAAGGGGAAAAAGAACUUGACAGAAUGUGUCUUGGCUUUUGCCAAACCCAAAGUAUUUGAAAAAUCACACAGUACACAUCUCGAACCCAAAAACAUGCCUGGAUUCUACCACCCCUAACUGCAGCUGCAGCCAUUUAAUAAAAUGAAUUGUGUACAAGAAAAUGGGGUCCGAAUGGAGUGAGCUUCAUUAGAGAGAAUGACUGAUGUAGGGCGGUUGGCUGGUGCCCUUGAGAAAGUACAUAUCUCAUUGCCCUUGCAGAGAAAGAGAGAGGCCCAAUGUAGAGCUUUCUAACCACGCUAUUGAAUCAAGC